UACGUAGGGGGCAAGCGUUGUCCGGAAUCAUUGGGCGUAAAGAGCGUGUAGGCGGCUCGGUAAGUCCGCUGUAAAAGUCCAGGGCUCAACCCUGGAAAGCCGGUGGAAACUGUCGAGCUAGAGUCCGGAAGAGGCGAGUGGAAUUCCUGGUGUAGCGGUGAAAUGCGCAGAUAUCAGGAGGAACACCUGUGGCGAAAGCGGCGCACUGAACCACAACUGACGCUGAGGCGCGAAAGCUAGGGGAGCAAACAGG
rnacentral:rRNA from 1 species